ensembl:misc_RNA Metazoa_SRP Metazoan signal recognition particle RNA
GCCGGGCAUGGUGGUGCAUGCCUGUAAUCCCAGCUACUUGGGAGGCUGAGGCAGGAGAAUCGCUUGAACCCAGGCGGUGGAGGUUGCAGUGAACUGAGAUUGUGCCAUUGCACUCCGGCCUGGGCGAUAAAGUGAGACUCCGUCUCAA